rnacentral:rRNA from 1 species
GAUGAACGCUGGCGGCGUGCCUAAUACAUGCAAGUCGAGCGGAGCGGGGACGGGUGAGAAACACGUGGAUAACCUUCUAUAAGACUGGGUAAACUUCGGGAAACCGGAGCUAAACCGGCUCCUUAUAGAUGGUUCCGCGCUGCAUUAGCUAGUUGGUACGGUAACGGCUUACCAAGGCAACGAUGCAUAGCCGACCGGAGAGGGGGAUCGGCCACACUGGAACUGAGACACGGGCCAGACUCCUACGUGAGGCAGCAGUGGGGAAUCUUCCGCAAUGGGCGAAAGCCUGACGGAGCAACGCCGCGUGAGUGAUGAAGGUCUUCGGAUCGUAAAACUCUGUUAGUAGGGAAGCGGUACCUGAUCAGAAAGCCACGGCUAACUACGUGCCAGCAGCCGCGGUAAUAC